rnacentral:misc_RNA from 1 species
AAAAUUGAGACUAAAGGAAUAGAAAGAAGAGUAUGUGCUUCUCCUACCUUUUUAACAAUAGUUUGUGAUCCAUUAGCUAAGGUAACUUUAAAGAGAGUUGAGGGGGAGACAAAGGUAAAGAAAGGAUUUUCAUUGCAAGAGAUAUGAUAAGAAAAACUAGAAUUAGGGAUCCAUGGUUCAGUGGAUGAAGUUUAUGUUAGACAAGUAAUU